GGGCAUUCAGUGUGUGUAAAGCGGCUGUAGUAUGUGUGUGGGAAUGUAGUGAAUGUGUAGGGCAUUCAGUGUGUGUAAAGCAGCUGUAGUUUGUGUGUGGGAAUGUAGUGUAUGUGUAGGGAAUUCAGUGUGUGUACAGUGGCUAUAGUUUGUGUGUGGGAAUGUAGUGAAUGUGUAGGGGAUUCAGUGUGUAAAUUAGCUGUAGUUUGUGUGUGGGAAUGUAGUGAAUGUGUAGGGCAUUCAGUGUGUGUAAAGCAGCUGUAGUUUGUGUGUGGGAAUGUAGUGAAUGUGUAGGGCAUUCAGUGUGUAAAUUAGCUGUAGUUUGUGUGUGGGAAUGUAGUGAAUGUGUAGGGCAUUCAGUGUGUGUAAAUUAGCUGUAGUUUGUGUGUGGGAAUGUAGUGAAUGUGUAGGGCAUUCAGUGUGUGUAAAGCGGCUGUAGUUUGUGUGUGGGAAUGUAGUG